UAAUAAUUAGAUGCCAACUUUUCAGUUGAGG
rnacentral:piRNA from 1 species